rnacentral:rRNA from 1 species
UACGAGAGGUGCAAGCGUUAUUCGGAAUUACUGGGCGUAAAGGGUGUGUAGGCGGCUUGUCAAGUCCAUCGUUAAAUCUCUCGGCCUAACUGAGAGUUCGCGGUGGAAACUGACUUGCUAGAGUGAGGAAGAGAGAGGUGGAAUUCUCGGAGUAGCGGUAAAAUGCGUAGAUCUCGAGAAGAACACCGAUGGCGAAGGCAGCCUCUUGGUCCUUUUCUGACGCUGAGACACGAAAGCGUGGGGAGCAAACAGGAUUAGAUACCCUGGUAGUCCACGCUGUAAACGAUGAUCACUAGACGUUAAUUCCGUUUUAGGAAUUGGUGUCGUAGCUAACGCGUUAAGUGAUCCGCCUGGGGACUACGGUCGCAAGACUA